rnacentral:rRNA from 1 species
UACGGAGGGGGCUAGCGUUGUUCGGAAUUACUGGGCGUAAAGCGCACGUAGGCGGCUUCUUAAGUCGGUGGUGAAAUCCUGGAGCUCAACUCCAGAACUGCCUUCGAUACCGGGAGCUCGAGUCCGGGAGAGGCGAGUGGAACUGCGAGUGUAGAGGUGAAAUUCGUAGAUAUUCGCAAGAACACCAGUGGCGAAGGCGGCUCACUGGCCCGGUACUGACGCUGAGGUGCGAAAGCGUGGGGAGCAAACAGG